AUUGAACGCUGGCGGCAUGCUUUACACAUGCAAGUCGAACGGUAACAGGGAGCUUGCUCCGCUGACGAGUGGCGAACGGGUGAGUAAUGCAUCGGAACGUACCCAGUCGUGGGGGAGUAACGUAGCGAAAGUUACGCUAAUACCGCAUACGUCCUGAGGGAGAAAGCGGGGGACCGGUAAGGCCUCGCGCGAUUGGAGCGGCCGAUGUCGGAUUAGCUAGUUGGUGGGGUAAAGGGCUCACCAAGGCGACGAUCUGUAGCGGGUCUGAGAGGAUGAUCCGCCACACUGGAACUGAGACACGGUCCAGACUCCUACGGGAGGCAGCAGUGGGGAAUUUUGGACAAUGGGCGCAAGCCUGAUCCAGCCAUGCCGCGUGAGUGAAGAAGGCC
rnacentral:rRNA from 1 species